rfam:Otolemur garnettii contig139703, whole genome shotgun sequence.
GCCAGGCACAGUGGCACAUGCCUAUAGUCCCAGCUACUCAGGAGGCUGAGACAGGAGGACCACUUGAGUCCAGGAGUUCUGGGCUGCAGUGCACUAUGCCAACCAGAUGUUCACAAUAAGUUCGGCAACAAUAUGGUGACCUCCCAGGAGCGGAAGACCACCAGGUUGUCUAAGAAGGGGUGAACAACUGGCCCCGGGGGGAAACGGAGCAGGUCAAGGCUCCUGUGCUAAUUAAUCAGUGGUGGGAUCGCACCACUGCACUGCAGCCUGGGCAACACAGUGAGACCCUGGCUCUU